rnacentral:rRNA from 1 species
ACCGGCGCACGGGUGAGUAACGCGUAUGCAACGUGCCCUUUACAGCGGGAUAGCCCGGAGAAAUCCGGAUUAAUACCGCAUAGUAUCCACAGAUCGCCUGUUUUGUGGAUUAAAGAUUUAUCGGUAAAGGAUGGGCAUGCGUGACAUUAGCUAGUUGGUGAGGUAACGGCUCACCAAGGCAGCGAUGUCUAGGGGUUCUGAGAGGAUGAUCCCCCACACUGGUACUGAGACACGGACCAGACUCCUACGGGAGGCAGCAGUGAGGAAUAUUGGUCAAUGGGCGCAAGCCUGAACCAGCCAUCCCGCGUGAAGGAAGACUGCCCUAUGGGUUGUAAACUUCUUUUGUGUACCAAGAAUGGUUCCUACGUGUAGGGAUUUGACGGUAGUACACGAAUAAGCAUCGGCUAACUCCGUGCCAGCAGCCGCGGUAAUACGGAGGAUGCAAGCGUUAUCCGGAUUCAUUGGGUUUAAAGGGUACGUAGGUGGCUUUGUAAGUCAGUGGUGAAAUCCUGCCGCUUAACGGUAGAACUGCCAUUGAUACUGCAAAGCUUGAGUACAGUUGAGGUAAGCGGAAUGUGUAGUGUAGCGGUGAAAUGCUUAGAUAUUACACAGAACUCCGAUUGCGAAGGCAGCUUACUAAACUGUAACUGACACUGAGGUACGAAAGCGUGGGGAGCGAACAGGAUUAGAUACCCUGGUAGUCCACGCUGUAAACGAUGCUCACUCGCUGUAUGCGAUACACAGUAUGCGGCCAAGCGAAAGUAUUAA